rnacentral:lncRNA from 1 species
UGAGCACUGAGGGAGAAGUGCCAACAAGAACUCUAAUUGCUGUCACACAGAGGGAUGUGACAGAGAGUGACUGCAGGGGUGACUUAAUUUGAAACUUGAGUGCCAAAGGGGAAUGAGUCUUGUAGAGAUCUACGAGGGGGGAGGUAAGAGGAAGUUCCAAAGCCCUGAAGUGGCAAUGCGCUUGGCUGGUAUAAAGAAGAGGAAGAAGGCAGCAUGGCUGGGAGGUAGUGGGAGAGAGGAUGCCAAGGAGGGCAGGAAAGGGAGAUGGGGAGAUGGGGUUUGGAUCAUGAGAGCCCUGUGAGCCAACACAAAGAGUUCAAAAUUAUCCUAAGUUAAAUGGGACAUAGAAAUACAUGUGCAAGAUUAAAUACAGUAUUUGUUGUUAUGUAGAGUCAAUUAUAAAAAAUCAAGAGAGUACAGAAGAAGACGUGCAGGAAGGUACCAUAACAGUUCAGGUGGGAGAUACUGGUGGCUUAAACUAGGAAAACAGAGAGAAAGGAAUAAACUCAGGGUGUAUUUUACACGUGGCAAAGGUGAGACCUGUUGCUGGAUUACAUGUGGCAGUUAAGGGAAGGAGGGAGUUAGAUUCUGCCUUGAGUGACUUGAUGGCUGUGCUCACUAAGAUGGACGGUACUAGAGGGGGAACAGUUUAGGUGGUGAGUGUCAAGAGUUCUGUGUUUGGCGUGCUAAGUUUGAAGUGCCUACUAGUCUUUCAAGUGGAGAGUUACACUGGCAAUUAGAUAGAUGAAUCCACACUGGCAAUUAGAUAUAUGAAUCCCGAGCUCAAGCCCAAGGCUGGGGGUGUACUUUUGGAACCUUACUUAAAAAGCCAUGGAAAAGAAUAAGAUCACCUAGUGAAAUAAGGAGUAGAAAGGGGUAUAGCACUGAGCUUUGGGAUACCCCAGCUAAUAGAGGUUGGACAGGCAGCAAACGAUGUGAGAAGAAGGUCAGGAAGAAAAAACAUCAGGAGAUUGUGUUGUCACAGAAGCCAAGAGAAGAAAAUGGUUCUAAAAGACAGAGGUCAAAUGCGGGACAAAUGAAAGGCUUGGAUGAGGCCAGAGAAGUGACCACUGCCAAUGACCACCUGCAGGUCUCUGGGGACCUUAACAAGACUAACAUCAGUGAAAAGAUGGCAGUGAUCACCUGAUGGAACUGGAUGAGCUAUGUUGCCCAGGCUGGUCGCAAACUCCAGGCCUCCGGGAAUCCUCCUGCCUCAGCCUUCUGAAGUGCUGAAAUUACAGCUGCUUCGGCGACAGCACGGAAUAGACGGAUCAUUGGUGGAAACAGGGAUGGAGAUACGCCAGGAGUGUGCAAUGAAGAAUAAGAGGGGAGAGUUCACACAUUUCCAUAGGAAGAGAGCCACACCGCACAAACAACAGGUGUAAUUCUAAGGUGCUGUUUCUCCGAAUGCCACACAUGUUUACCACUGCUCAUCUCAAGGAAUCAAAACCCAGUUUCAACUUUUAUACAAAACCCAUGAAAGACUUAACCUUCUAUAAAAAUAUGUGAACAAAAGUAGACUCCCUUCUGGGAGGAUUGGGAGGGAUGGAGGAAAUUAUCCCAGAGAGUGCCGGCUCGGGAGUCGCUCUGAGGUCAGCCCCAAUCCUUUGGUUUACAUUUGUAGGGAGGAUCCACCCAACAGCUGUGCUUUAGUCAUCUUUAGAGAUACUCUCUCCCACCCCCUACCCUAAAAAACACAGAGUUGAAUGUGCUGAGAAGUAUACAUUAUGCUGCAUUGUGUGACUGUGUAAUUACUGUCCUAUACAUGCUGGACCAGAGAUUGACUGAAGACUGGAGAAUUAAACAAAGUUGUGACUAAUUCUGGAUCAAAUCCAAUAGGCAGAUGAAUAGGGCAAUCCUGAUAUUUUGCCAAAGCCA